AGACGUUAGGUCUCGUUGGUGACCAGCGGAGGGAUCAUUACAGAGUUGCAAAACUCCCUAAACCAUUGUGAACGUUACCUAAACCGUUGCUUCGGCGGGCGGCCCCGGGGUUUACCCCCCGGGCCCCCCUGGGCCCCACCGCGGGCCCCCCCCGGAGGUCACCAAACUCUUGAUAAUUUAUGGCCUCUCUGAGUCUUCUGUACUGAAUAAGUCAAAACUUUCAACAACGGAUCUCUUGGUUCUGGCAUCGAUGAAGAACGCAGCGAAAUGCGAUAAGUAAUGUGAAUUGCAGAAUUCAGUGAAUCAUCGAAUCUUUGAACGCACAUUGCCCCCCCCAGUAUUCUGGCGGGCAUGCCUGUUCGAGCGUCAUUUCAACCAUCAAGCCCCCGGGCUUGUGUUGGGGACCUGCGGCUGCCGCAGGCCCUGAAAAGCAGUGGCGGGCUCGCUGUCACACCGAGCGUAGUAGCAUACAUCUCGCUCUGGGCGUGCUGCGGGUUCCGGCCGUUAAACCACCUUUUAACCCAAGGUUGACCUCGGAUCAGGUAGGAAGACCCGCUGAACUUAAGCAUAUCAAUAAGCGGAGGAAU
rnacentral:rRNA from 1 species